rnacentral:rRNA from 1 species
UACGAAGGGGGCUAGCGUUGUUCGGAAUUACUGGGCGUAAAGGGCUCGUAGGCGGCCAACUAAGUCAGACGUGAAAUCCCUCGGCUUAACCGGGGAACUGCGUCUGAUACUGGAUGGCUAGAGGUUGGGAGAGGGAUGCGGAAUUCCAGGUGUAGCGGUGAAAUGCGUAGAUAUCUGGAGGAACACCGGUGGCGAAGGCGGCAUCCUGGACCAAUUCUGACGCUGAGGAGCGAAAGCCAGGGGAGCAAACGGG